rnacentral:rRNA from 1 species
AACGAACGCUGGCGGCAGGCUUAACACAUGCAAGUCGAACGCCCCGCAAGGGGAGUGGCAGACGGGUGAGUAACGCGUGGGAAUCUACCCAGAUCUUCGGAACAACACAGGGAAACUUGUGCUAAUACCGGAUACGCCCUACGGGGGAAAGAUUUAUCGGUUCUGGAUGAGCCCGCGUUGGAUUAGCUAGUUGGUGAGGUAAUGGCUCACCAAGGCGACGAUCCAUAGCUGGUCUGAGAGGAUGAUCAGCAACACUGGGACUGAGACACGGCCCAGACUCCUACGGGAGGCAGCAGUGGGAAUAUUGGACAAUGGGCGAAAACCUGAUUCAGCCAUGCCGCGUGAGUGAUGAAGGCCUUAGGGUUGUAAAGCUCUUUUAGUGGGGAAGAUAAUGACGGUACCCACAGAAAAAGCCCCGGCUAACUUCGUGCCAGCAGCCGCCGUAA